rnacentral:sRNA from 1 species
UGAUGAUCGCACGGUUAGACACACAGCUGAAGAAUAAGCUUAUAACACUGAUGGGUCAGAAGACAUCUCUAACCCAAGAAACAGAGCUUUUGGAAUCCUUACUUCAGGAGGUGGAGCACCAGUUGCGGUCUUGUAGUAAGAGUGAGUUGAUAUCUAAGAGCUCAGAGAUCCUUAUGAUGUUUCAGCAAGUUCAUCGGAAGCCCAUGGCAUCUUUUGUUACCACUCCUGUUCCACCAGACUUUACCAGUGAAUUAGUGCCAUCUUACGAUUCAGCUACUUUUGUUUUAGAGAAUUUCAGGUAAGAGUUUUUGACAAUUCUGGUUUUUUUGUAUGUGUAUAUAAGGAAGAGCCAGAAAGGUAUUCUUUGGUAAGACAGUAAUCUAGUGAACUGUGUCACUCACUUUAGAAGUCUUAGAAGAAUAAGUUUCCUAUUAGAAACGUAGAGAUAAUUUGUGCUGGAUUAUAUUGUAUCUUUAGACUGACUGCUUCUCUAGUCUGGGA